GCGGAAGUGGCGUAACGGCAGCCGCGCCGGGUUUAGGUCCCGGUGUCCGAGAGGGCGUAGGGGUUCGAAUCCCCUCUUCCGCA
rnacentral:tRNA from 1 species